rnacentral:rRNA from 1 species
UUUAUGGAGAGUUUGAUCCUGGCUCAGAGUGAACGCUGGCGGCGUGCCUAAUACAUGCAAGUCGAACGAUGAAGCUUCUAGCUUGCUAGAGUGCUGAUUAGUGGCGCACGGGUGAGUAACGCAUAGGUUAUGUGCCUCUUAGUUUGGGAUAGCCAUUGGAAACGAUGAUUAAUACCAGAUACUCCCUACGGGGGAAAGAUUUAUCGCUAAGAGAUCAGCCUAUGUCCUAUCAGCUUGUUGGUAAGGUAAUGGCUUACCAAGGCUAUGACGGGUAUCCGGCCUGAGAGGGUGAACGGACACACUGGAACUGAGACACGGUCCAGACUCCUACGGGAGGCAGCAGUAGGGAAUAUUGCUCAAUGGGGGAAACCCUGAAGCAGCAACGCCGCGUGGAGGAUGAAGGUUUUAGGAUUGUAAACUCCUUUUGUUAGAGAAGAUAAUGACGGUAUCUAACGAAUAAGCACCGGCUAACUCCGUGCCAGCAGCCGCGGUAAUACGGAGGGUGCAAGCGUUACUCGGAAUCACUGGGCGUAAAGAGCGCGUAGGCGGGAUAGUCAGUCAGGUGUGAAAUCCUAUGGCUUAACCAUAGAACUGCAUUUGAAACUACUAUUCUAGAGUGUGGGAGAGGUAGGUGGAAUUCUUGGUGUAGGGGUAAAAUCCGUAGAGAUCAAGAGGAAUACUCAUUGCGAAGGCGACCUGCUGGAACAUUACUGACGCUGAUUGCGCGAAAGCGUGGGGAGCAAACAGGAUUAGAUACCCUGGUAGUCCACGCCCUAAACGAUGGAUGCUAGUUGUUGGAGGGCUUAGUCUCUCCAGUAAUGCAGCUAACGCAUUAAGCAUCCCGCCUGGGGAGUACGGUCGCAAGAUUAAAACUCAAAGGAAUAGACGGGGACCCGCACAAGCGGUGGAGCAUGUGGUUUAAUUCGAAGAUACACGAAGAACCUUACCUAGGCUUGACAUUGAGAGAAUCCGCUAGAAAUAGUGGAGUGUCUGGCUUGCCAGAUCUUGAAAACAGGUGCUGCACGGCUGUCGUCAGCUCGUGUCGUGAGAUGUUGGGUUAAGUCCCGCAACGAGCGCAACCCCCUUUCUUAGUUGCUAACAGGUUAUGCUGAGAACUCUAAGGAUACUGCCUCCGUAAGGAGGAGGAAGGUGGGGACGACGUCAAGUCAUCAUGGCCCUUACGCCUAGGGCUACACACGUGCUACAAUGGGGUGCACAAAGAGAAGCAAUACUGCGAAGUGGAGCCAAUCUUCAAAACACCUCUCAGUUCGGAUUGUAGGCUGCAACUCGCCUGCAUGAAGCUGGAAUCGCUAGUAAUCGCAAAUCAGCCAUGUUGCGGUGAAUACGUUCCCGGGUCUUGUACUCACCGCCCGUCACACCAUGGGAGUUGUGUUUGCCUUAAGUCAGGAUGCUAAAUUGGCUACUGCCCACGGCACACACAGCGACUGGGGUGAAGUCGUAACAAGGUAACCGUAGGUGAACCUGCGGUUGGAUCACCUCCUUU